rnacentral:snRNA from 1 species
GGAUGAGAGGGUGACCUGGCUGCGACAUCUGUCACCGCAUUGAUUCGGCCGAUCUGGCUGGCUGGGUGGGUGUCCCCUUCCUCCCUCACAGCUCCAUGUGCAUCCUUCCCAAAGCUGCGUGCUCCAUGGUGAAGAGGACAACCUUCCCCGAAUAGAGAAGGACGGCUCUUCUCUCAAGGGUAGGCAGGUGGCUGCGCUCCCCUGCUAAAACCUCCAGACAAGCUCAAAGUCCAACUUUGGAUUUUGUUAGUCAGUGAAACCGCUUGCCCGUUUCUCACCUACAUUUCUCACCUCCUCAGCCAUGU